rnacentral:rRNA from 1 species
UGGGGAAUUUUGGACAAUGGGGGAAACCCUGAUCCAGCCAUCCCGCGUGUGCGAUGAAGGCCUUCGGGUUGUAAAGCACUUUUGGCAGGAAAGAAACGUCAUGGGUUAAUACCCCGUGAAACUGACGGUACCUGCAGAAUAAGCACCGGCUAACUACGUGCCAGCAGCCGCGGUAAUACGUAGGUUGCAAGCGUUAAUCGGAAUUACUGGGCGUAAAGCGUGCGCAGGCGGUUCGGAAAGAAAGAUGUGAAAUCCCAGAGCUCAACUGUGGAACUGAAUUUUUAACUACCGGGCUAGAGUGUGGCAGAGGGAGGUGGAAUUCCGCGUGUAGCAGUGAAAUGCGUAGAUAUGCGGAGGAACACCGAUGGCGAAGGCAGCCACCUGGGAUAACACUGACGAUCAUGCACGAAAGCGUGGGGAGCAAACAGG